UACGGGGGGAGCAAGCGUUGUUCGGAUUUACUGGGCGUAAAGGCGCGUAGGCGGCCAGCACAAGUCAGUUGUGAAUCUCCGAGCUUAACUCGGAAAGGUCAACUGAUACUGUGCGGCUAGAGUGCGGAAGGGCAACUGGAAUUCCUGGUGUAGCGGUGAAAUGCGCAGAUAUCAGGAGGAACACCGGUGGCGAAGGCGGGUCUCUGGGCCGGAACUGACGCUGAGAGCGAAAGCGUGGGGAGCGAACCGG
rnacentral:rRNA from 1 species